GAUGAACGCUGGCGGCGUGCCUAAUACAUGCAAGUCGAGCGAACAGACGAGGAGCUUGCUCCUCUGACGUUAGCGGCGGACGGGUGAGUAACGCGUGGAUAACCUACCUAUAAGACUGGGAUAACUUCGGGAAACCGGAGCUAAUACCGGAUAAUAUAUUGAACCGCAUGGCUCAAUAGUGAAAGACGGUUUUGCUGUCACUUAUAGAUGGAUCCGCGCCGCAUUAGCUAGUUGGUAAGGUAACGGCUUACCAAGGCAACGAUGCGUAGCCGACCUGAGAGGGUGAUCGGCCACACUGGAACUGAGACACGGUCCAGACUCCUACGGGAGGCAGCAGUAGGGAAUCUUCCGCAAUGGGCGAAAGCUUGACGGAGCAACGCCGCGUGAGUGAUGAAGGUCUUCGGAUCGUAAAACUCUGUUAUUAGGGAAGAACAAAUGUGUAAGUAACUAUGCACGUCUUGACGGUACCUAAUCAGAAAGCCACGGCUAACUACGUG
rnacentral:rRNA from 1 species